UCCUAUAUAUUGUGGAAGCAAAUUUCCGUGUCGGCAGGAGAUCUGAUUUAUAAUUACGUUUCUCCCAAAUGGGUAGCCAAUAGUAGAUGAGGAAAAGCAUCUCAUUAUAACAAUACUCCGUUUAACAAAUAAAGAAGAGUGAUAGAAUCAGAAUACCACCAUCGUGCGACCCCCAGUGAAUGAGCGGAUCCAGGCACCAAACACCGACAGCUGCUGCUGUCACAGACAGACAGCGCAGACACUCUGUGGCUCCUGCUGAACGGACACAACACCACCACGGCCUUGCCAGAGGGAUCCAGCCUGAAUCUGACCGGCCUCUGGACCGUUGCUAAGAUGCAGGAAAAAAGAAAUAAAUGACGAGAGAGGAGCUGGUUGAGCUGUACUAUAAAUACACCAUCAGCAGAAUCCAGGACUGUGGGAAACUCCACGGGUCCAACAGCCCGGGGUUUUCAUCACGAAAUUGUGAGUGACCUUGAAGAUUAAGAGACCGGAAAGUUCAAAAGGUUAAGAUUAUUUAAACCAAGUCCUGUAAUCAUUGUCUUCCCUGAAAAUUCUGCAUGGAAUUAGAACAGAAGUGACUUGUUAAUGAACUGGAUGCAGGCUGGACUCAAGGAACUUCGAUUUAUAUAAUAAGAUUUUGUUUGUUUAUACGACAGAGGGGGAGCACAAGCAGGGGAAGCAGCUGGCAGAGAGAGCAAAAGAAGCAGGUUCCCCUGCUGAGCAAAGAGCUCAUUGUGGGGCUGGAUCCCAGGACCUGAGCCGAAAGCAGAUACUUAACCGACAGAGCCACCCAGGAGCCCCAAGAUUUCGAUCUUAAUUCAAGGAUAUAUUCUCUAUAAUACAGUGAGUCUACGUGGGCUGGAAGGCUGCUGUAGAUGACCGUAUCUCAUAAGGGCCCAAGAUGAUGGAUAACUAAGAAGUCCACAGAACCUGACUGAUGAAACUUAGUAGUCCUCUUCUUCUCAGGGACAGAAUGCUUGGAAGGACACAGGUUUCAACAAAUGGUACUAGGACACAUGGAUAUCUACAUGCAAAAAAGUGAAGCUGGACCCCUUCUUCAUACUAUAUACAACAAUUAACUCAAAACGGACUGAAGACCUAAAUGUAUAAAAUUUUUAGAAGUUACAGAGGAGUAAUUAUUUAUGAUCUUGAUUUAGGCAAUAGAAUCUCAGAUAUGAUACCAAAGCCAGAAGGAACCAUAGGGAAAAAAAGGUUAUGUUGGACUUCAUUAAAAUUAAAAACUUACAUGCUUCAAAGACAUCAUCAAUAAAGUGGGAAAAAAAAAACACCAAAAAAAGGGAGAGAGAAAAAUUAUGUCUGCUAAGGGUUUGGCAUCCAGCAUACAUAAAGAAAUCUUGCAAUUCAACAGUAGAGACAAACAACUCAAUUAAAAACGGGCAAAGGAGAAGAACAAGGAGACUGA